CUGAUGAAAGUACCAAUUUGUGUAUUGUUGGAUUUUUCAUCUGAUUAUCUAAAGAGGAUAUAAAAAAUAUAGUCUAAAAAAAGUGUUCAUGGUGAAUCUCAUUUGAGAAAUUCAUGUUAAAUUAAAAUAGGAACAGCAUUUUAGUUUUCUGGGUGUUACCUAAAAGUGACUUUGGACUUUCACUGGAUAUAGGCCUUUUGUAAAUCAUGUUGAUACAAUGUAUGGUUUGCAUUUUAGAGGGAGUUUAUGUUUAAUUAAGUUUUAGUUUCUGUAAAUCCUUUGUAGUACAUAAUGCUUUUUAUAGUUAUUGCUUUAUCUUUUUCUGAAAACACUGGCAUUAGCACCUAAUUUUGCAUUUUUAUUG
rnacentral:lncRNA from 1 species